AUGGAGGCCCAGCUGAGCACAUUGAGCUGUGUGGUACUCUCACCCAUCUCGUUCGUCUCCUCAUGAAGCUGUUUCAGCACUCCCAACUGGCCAUCACCCUCGAGAACCCGACAUCAAGUACCCUCUGUUGCUCAUCAACAAGGAGAUCAUCAGUCAUGACACGUGACGCUUCCAAUUUUCCCCCCCAUUCCCCCCAGCAUAUCCUGGGCCUUCCUAUCAGCCAACACAUCUACCUUCCAACUAGGAGACUAGGAUCGAUGGCAACUUGGUCAUUCGGCCCUACACACUUGUGUCUAGCAAUAAUGACAAGGGCUUUGUGAACUUAGUGGUCAAGGUUUACUUCAAGGACACCCAUCCUAAGUUUCCAGCUGGAGGGAAAAUGUCUUAGUACCUGGAAAACAUGAAUAUUGGAGACACCAUUGAGUUCCAGGGGCCCAAUGGGCUACUGAACUACCAGGGCAAAGGGAAGUUCGCCCUCCAUGCAGACAAGAAGUCCAACCCUGUUGUCAGGAUGGUGAAGUCUGUAGGGAUGAUUGCAGGAGGGACAGGCAUCACCCCAAUGCUGCAGGUGAUCUGAGCCAUAAUGAAGGACUCAAAUGACCACACUGUGUGCUAUUUGCUCUUUGCCAACCAGUCCGAGAAAGAUACCCAGUUGCAGCCUGAGUGGAGGAACUGAGGAGUGAACAUUCUGCUCACUUCAAGCUCUGCUAUACAGUGGACAAAGACCCCAAAGCCUGGGACGAUAGCCAGGGCUUCGUGAAUGAGGAGAUGAUCAGGAACCACCUUCUACCUCCUGGGGAAGAGCCGCUGAUACUGAUGUGUGGAUCUCCACCAAUGAUCCAGUUUGCUUGUUUGCCAAACCUGGAGCAUGUGGGCCACCCCAAGGAGUGAUGCUCCACUUUCUGAUGGCUGGAUGCUGGGCAU